CCUGCGCGGCUGCGCCUCCCCUCUCUCCUCCAUUCUCUCCCUCGCGUCACACAAGCGCCGCCUCUCCCUCUCUCGCGCCGGCCACCCCCAUCGCCGCAGAUCGCAGCCAACCAAAACUUUGCCGCUAGCGGCCAUAGCCCCUCACACCUUCUCGGCUUCUCCACGCUCGAUCCCCCCACCCACGCCUCGAUCCCACCUCCAAUCCCGCCACCGUUGCAAACCCUAGCCUGUUGUCCAGAUCAGAUCGAGAUACCAUCGGUGCCCCUUUCUCCCUCACUUCACGAUGAAGAGAAGCAGUUCUUCUUGCCGACGUGCUCGCGCUCCUUGCAGUGGUCGCGCUCCGGACCGCGCCGCCCGCCGCGGAGCUCAACCGGCCAGAGCACCCUACAAGAACGAUGGGUCGCUAAUCCUGCUCGUCAUCCAGAGCCGUGCGGUGGCCGCCGGUGAGCACGCAUGGGAGCCAGCGAACACUACGCCUCCGCCUGGCCUGGGGCUCCUGGUGGACGGGCCAUCGUGGCCUCCAAGUGCUUUCUCACACUAGAUGGAGUGAUGAUGGUGCAGCGUCGUGACCGACACGUGGAGGAGCAGCAGCAGUGGCGGAUCUGUCCUCUGUUGCUUAAUGUUUCUUGGAAAUUACUCUACCAAGUGGUCCUUAGAAUAUGACCCUGCAGUAGCUUCAACAUGAUAAGGACCAACUAAAGGUUGUUGAAGAAAGUUCUCUGCUUCUGAUGUUUCCUCACCGUCGCUGAGGAUGAUAUAUGGAAGCCUUCCUGGAGAUUGGAUGUUGUCACUAGCUUAGAUGGAACACACAUGUUGCUGCUUGUAUGCAUUAAGUGUGUUUUAUGUUGUGUAAGAGAAGUGAUGGUGUGUAUUUGAAAUUCCGUUCUGUAUCAUUUCACAAUGGAAAGUCGUUUGUUGUUUAUAUAGAAAUUCCUGGCCUGCAAACAGUAGUUGUAUGUACAGCUUGCAUAUCAAAAUAAAUUGAUUGGGCCCUAAAUAGGCCAUGGCCCAGUUAAAGAUCU